AGCUUCGAAAAGAGGAUGUGGGGGAGCAGUAGACAAUACAGAUAUUUAACUUUAAAAUUCUUAGAGCACAGGUUCUUUCAAAGGUUGUAUAUGUGUAGGCUACUAGUAAUGAAAAAUAUGUAAUGUAAAAUACUAGUAAUACUGUAUACUUGUAGAAAUUAACCUUUUAUUUUACCUUAACAUUUUUCUUAAAGGGGUCAUAGGAUGCCCAUUUUCCACAAGUUGAUAUGA